rnacentral:tRNA from 1 species
GGCCCGGUGGCGGAAGGGCGACGCGGGGAAUGCCGAAUUCCCACAUCCUGGUUCGAAUCCAGGCUGGGCCU